rnacentral:rRNA from 1 species
GAUGAACGCUGGCGGCGUGCUUAACACAUGCAAGUCGAACGAUGAAGCCCAGCUUGCUGGGUGGAUUAGUGGCGAAAGGGUGAGUAACACGUGAGUAACCUGCCCUUAACACUGGGAUAAGCCUGGGAAAAUGGGUCUAAUACAGGAUAGGAGCGUCCACCGCAUGGUGGGUGUUGGGAAGAUUUAUCGGUUUUGGAUGGACUCGCGGCCUAUCAGCUUGUUGGUGAGGUAAUGGCUCACCAAGGCGACGACGGGUAGCCGGCCUGAGAGGGUGACCGGCCACACUGGGACUGAGACACGGCCCAGACUCCUGCGGGAGGCAGCAGUGGGGAAUAUUGCACAAUGGGCGCAAGCCUGAUGCAGCGACGCCGCGUGAGGGAUGACGGCCUUCGGGUUGUAAACCUCUUUCUGUAGGGAAGAAGCGAAAGUGACGGUACCUGCAGAAGAAGCACCGGCUAACUACGUG